rnacentral:misc_RNA from 1 species
AAGUCGUAACAAGGUUUCCGUAGGUGAACCUGCGGAAGGAUCAUUAUCGAGUUUGUGGGGGGUGGAUUGAUGCUGGCUGCACUUGUGUGGCAUGUGCUCGUCUCCCUCUUCGUCCCACUCUCAACCCCAUGUGCACCGUGAGGGGUGUUGGUCCCGCCAGUCGGGACGGACGCCUCGAACCCCCCUACACACACAAACCAGUAUGAACCGAAUGUAAUAAUUUGAUAAAUCAUUACAACUUUCAACAACGGAUCUCUUGGCUCUC